rnacentral:rRNA from 1 species
CUACGGGUUGCUGCAGUGAGGAAUAUUGCACAAUGGGGGGAACCCUGAUGCAGCAACGCCGCGUGGAGGAUGACGCAUUUCGGUGUGUAAACUCCUUUUAUAUGUCAAGAAAAUGACGGUAGCAUAUGAAUAAGCACCCGCUAACUCCGUGCCAGCAGCCGCGGUAAUACGGAGGGUGCAAGCGUUACGCGGAAUCACUGGGCGUAAAGGACGCGUAGGCGGGUUGGAAAGUCAGGUGUGAAAUCCUACAGCUUAACUGUAGAACUGCACUUGAAACUUCUAAUCUAGAGUAUGGGAGGGGGAGAUGGAAUUAGUGGUGUAGGGGUAAAAUCCGUAGAUAUCACUAGGAAUACCUAAAGCGAAGGCGAUCUCCUGGAACAUUACUGACGCUAAGGCGUGAAAGCGUGGGGAGCAAACAGGAUUAGAUACCCUCGUAGUC